rnacentral:pre_miRNA from 1 species
UUGAAGAAUUUGAAGACUUGAACUUGAUCGUGAAGGAUCUGAAGACUUCAACUUGCAUGCUUAAAGAAUUUGAAGACUUCAACU